rnacentral:rRNA from 1 species
UACGUAGGGUGCAAGCGUUGUCCGGAAUUAUUGGGCGUAAAGAGCUCGUAGGCGGUCUGUCGCGUCGAAUGUGAAAACCCGGGGCUCAACUCCGGGCUUGCAUUCGAUACGGGCAGGCUAGAGUUCGGUAGGGGAGUCUGGAAUUCCUGGUGUAGCGGUGAAAUGACGCAGAUAUCAGGAGGAACACCGGUGGCGAAGGCGGGUCUCUGGGCCGUAACUGACGCUGGAGGAGCGAAAGCAUGGGGGAGCGAACAGG